rnacentral:rRNA from 1 species
UACGGAGGGUGCAAGCGUUAAUCGGAAUUACUGGGCGUAAAGCGCGCGUAGGCGGUUUUGUAAGUCGGAUGUGAAAGCCCCGGGCUCAACCUGGGAACUGCGUCCGAUACUGGAUGGCUUGAAUCCGGGAGAGGGAUGCAGAAUUCCUGGUGUAGCGGUGGAAUGCGCAGAUAUCAGGAGGAACACCAAUGGCGAAGGGAGCUCGCUGGAACGGUACUGACGCUGAGGCGCGAAAGCGUGGGGAGCGAACAGG